GGCAGAGUCGGCUCGGAGUGGCCCCUGAAACUGGCCUCCGUCGGCAGACUGUAAAUCUGCUGGCUUAGCCUUCGGCGGUUCGAAUCCGUCUCCCGCCACCA
rnacentral:tRNA from 1 species